UACGUAGGGUGCAAGCGUUGUCCGGAAUUAUUGGGCGUAAAGAGCUCGUAGGCGGUCUGUCGCGUCUGCUGUGAAAACUCGGGGCUUAACCCCGGGCCUGCAGUGGGUACGGGCAGACUAGAGUGCGGUAGGGGAGACUGGAAUUCCUGGUGUAGCGGUGGAAUGCGCAGAUAUCAGGAGGAACACCGAUGGCGAAGGCAGGUCUCUGGGCCACUACCGACGCUGAGAAGCGAAAGCAUGGGGAGCGAACAGG
rnacentral:rRNA from 1 species